UACGUAGGGGGCAAGCGUUGUCCGGAAUCAUUGGGCGUAAAGCGCGUGUAGGCGGUCCGAUCAGUCGGCUGUGAAAGUCCAGGGCUCAACCCUGGGAUGCCGGUCGAUACUGUCGGGCUAGAGUCCGGAAGAGGCGAGUGGAAUUCCCGGUGUAGCGGUGGAAUGCGCAGAUAUCAGGAAGAACACCGACGGCGAAGGCAGCUCGCUGGGACGGUACUGACGCUGAGGCGCGAAAGCGUGGGGAGCGAACAGG
rnacentral:rRNA from 1 species